rnacentral:rRNA from 1 species
CAGCCGCCGCGGUAAUACAGAGGGUGCGAGCGUUAAUCGGAUUUACUGGGCGUAAAGCGUGCGUAGGCGGCUUCUUAAGUCGGAUGUGAAAUCCCUGAGCUUAACUUAGGAAUUGCAUUCGAUACUGGGAAGCUAGAGUAUGGGAGAGGAUGGUAGAAUUCUAGGUGUAGCGGUGAAAUGCGUAGAGAUCUGGAGGAAUACCGAUGGCGAAGGCAGCCAUCUGGCCUAAUACUGACGCUGAGGUACGAAAGCAUGGGGAGCAAACAGGAUUAGAUACCCGUGUAGUCCCUGUCUCUUAUAC